CCCUUGCCUCAUUUGAAUAGCUUCUUCUCAAUAAAAGGGGCCAGCACGCGCUCCUGCUUGCCUGUGCUUUCUGUGGACUCUUAAGGUCAGAGGAGCCAUCACAGGACCCCCAAAGAAAAAGGUUCUCUCUAAGUUGCCCAGAAUAGCCUUGAAUUUAGGAUCCUCCUGCCUCAGCCUUCUGAAUCCCUAGGAUUACAGGUUCAAUAGCAGAUCAGUCACAGCUAAGAAUUAUUCAAUUGGAAGAUGGUUCUGAAGAAAUGAUCCAGAAUACAGAAUAGUCAGACUGGAAGAUGAGAACACUUUAUAGAAGCUAGAAGGAGAAGGUCUAAUAUGGGGUCUCACUAUAUUGUCCAGAUUGGUCUUCUUCUAUCACUUUUAUGCAACACUAUAAGAGAAGAAGAAACAGGAAGCAUAAGAAUUCAAGAGAGGAAGUAAAACCAUCUCUAUUUGCUGACAACCUGAUUACGUGGAAAAUUCCAAGGAAUUUAUGCAUGCAUGUGUGUAUAUAUACUGUAUUAUAACUCAGCACAUUUUAUUUCUUUGUUUGUUUGUAUUUUGCUGGGGAUUGGACCUAGGGCCUCAGGCAUGCCAGGCAAGUGCUUUAUCACUGAGCUACACCCCAGCCCUUGGCACAAUCUGAAAGGUCACAGGCUAUUGUGUGUGUAUACACACACACACACACACACACACAUACACACAGUUGUUUCUUUGUUAGCAACAAUUGGAAAAAUAAAAGUUAAAUGAAAUUUCAUUUACAAUAAAUAUGUGAAGUUAAAAAUCUUAGGACUAAACUUGACAAAAAUGUGUCGGAACUGUACACUGAAAGCUAUUAAGCUUUGCUGAGAUAAACUGGACAAAAUAAAUGAGGCAAUAUACCAUGCUCAAUUGGGUGAUACAGUGUGGCUAAGAUGUUCACACUUAUAAAUAUUUUUAUGAUUUAAAACAAUAUCAAAUUCCCCAAAAGUUUUUAUUUUGGUAAAAAUUGACAAGCUUAUUCUAAGAUUUUUAAGAAAUAAAAAUGACCUAGAAUAGUUAACAAAAUUUAAAAAGAACAAAGUGGUUGGACUUAUACUAUCUGAUUGGAAAACUUACUAUAAAGUUUCAGAAAUUAAACAGGGUGAUAUUAAAGGAAGUAUAUAAAUUUAGAUCAACAGAAAAGAAUAGGGAGUCCAGAAAUAGACCACACAUAUGUGGUCAACUGACUUUCAACAAAGGUGCCAGAGGCAAUUCAGCGAGAAAGGAAAGUCCUUUAAAGGACGGUGCUUAGAGAGACCUAGAAUAGUCAGAUCCAUGCUGACAGAAAGUGGGACAGGGCAGGAAGGGCUGGGAGAGGGGAUGGGCAAUGGCCACAGGGGGAAAUGUGGGCUUGGCAUGAGCAGAUGGCUGCACAAGUGUGCCGCACUCGACAGAACUGUACCCACAAACACAUCAUAGUGGAAGCACCGUGGUUCUGGGACUGAACAACCCGGGCGUUGCACCACUGAGCUACACCCAGCCCUUUUUAUCAAAUUAAUUUAUUUUUUGACACAAAGGACUAAACCUGGGAGUGCUUUACCACUGAGCUACAGCUCCAGCCCAUUUUAUUUUUUGAGACAGGGCUUUGCUAAGUUGCCCAUGCUACCCUUGAACUUGCAAUCUUCCUGCCUCAGCCUCUUGAGUUUCUGGGAGUAGAGGUGCCCAGCUAACAUGGAAAAUUCUAUAAUGAGCAUAUUUUGACACAAUAAACAUAACAUGGUUCUGGAACAAAUGAACAUUUCAUAAGAAACAUACAAACAUCAACUUUUCUUGACACCAAAACUAGAAUUUAAUUUUAAUCAAAGACCUAAAUUAAAAACUAAAACUGCUGGGGUAUAGCUUAGUGGUGGGGGUCGUGCCUAGCAUGGGUCAGCCCCUGGAUUUAAUUCUUAGCACCACACACACACACACAUACACACACACAAAAAAACCCAAAAAACAAAACAGAAAAAAAAUUGUGAUAGUGUCAUAGGAAAAGAUUUCUUACAUUAGACCCAAAGAAUAUUACUAGUGAAAGAGAAACAGAUAAAAUUGUAUUCUAUGAAAGCAUUAGCUUUUUUAAAAAAGAGAGAUUAUAAUGAAAAUGAAAAGGAAAGCUAUGAAAUAGAGAACUUUUGUAACACAUAUAUAGUAAAAAAAUGUUUGUCCAGAAUACAUAAAGAGUUCCUAAAUGUCAGUCAAACUACCCAUUUAAAAAAAUGAGCCAUAGACUAGAACAGACACUUCACAAAAGAAGAUACUUGAAUGGCCAAUAAGAACAUGAAAAGAAGCUCAGUCUUAUUAACAAUCAAGAAUGCAAAUCUAACCCUUCAAAGAGAUAGCACUAGAUAUCCGUUAAAAUGGCUUAAGUCUGAAGGGCUGACAAUGCCACGAGUGGACAGGGGCAGGUCAUGCAGGAAAUGGAACAAGGUGGAUGUUAAGUGCAGUACCAUGCUAGAAAAAUUGCUUGCCAAUAUCUUUACAAGUUAGCAUGCAUCUCCAUAAGGCAUGGCUAUUCUACCUCUAAGUAUUCAUCCAAGAAAAAUGAAACAGGCAGUGCUCACAUCUGUGAUCCCAGUGACUGGGGAGGCUGAGGCAGGAGUUUCCCAAGUUCAAGGCCAACUUGGGCACUUUCGUGAGACCCUCUCAAAACAAACAUAAAAAGGAAUGUAGCUCAGUGGCACAGCACUGCUGGCUUCAGCCUCCAGUACUGUAAAAAACAAAGCUACGGAUGCACAAAUGUGUACAGCAGUUUUAUUCAUGAUUGUUCCAAACAGGAGACAACCAAAUGUGCAUAUCACAGAUGAUUUGACAAGCAAAAUGUGGCAUUUUCAUAAAAUGGAAUACUACUUGGAAAAAGAAGAAAGAACCAAGUAGGACUGAUCCUUAGGAGGGUUUCCUUGGGGUAGAGGGCACUCUGGCAGAAAGUAAGCCAUGUCCCUGAGGAAGGGGCUGGGACACUCUCCCACAGGGAAUGGAACACAGGGCUUCCUCCAGGCUAGGCAAGUGCUCUACACUGAGCAACACUCCAGACCCUUUCAUUGUUUUUAGACGGGGUUUGAUAGGUUGCCCAGGCUGCCCUGGGACUUGAGACCCUCCUGCCUUAGUAGCCCAAGUAGAAUCACAGCCUGCAUCACCCCCUGACUCCCAAAGGGUUUGAAUCCCUAAUCAUCAUUUUUGAAAUUUGACAACUGUUGUGCUUCUGCUUUUCUUGCAGUUUGGCUUUAGGAGCCAACACACUUCCCGACUUCCAGGCUGAAAGUGGGCACAGCAGGGUGCAGGGCUGGCCUUGGGACCGGUGUGUUGAUGGGCACCCGGCUCAGCGUCAAGGAUCCAGGUGGCCUGUGGGACUUCUCGCCCUCCUCUCUCUCGCCUGCUCAGUUAAAGUGGGGACGGUAACACAACUGUUUCAUUGUCUCAUUCAUGCUGGCCACAGGCAGGGCCUGCUUGGACGCUGUCUAUGAAGCAAAGUGCCAGUCCCCAGAGACUCGCCAUUAGCUCCCAGCCUCUGGGGUGAGUGCGCUUCAGUCGGGAGCUAGUUCAGGUGCAGUUCCUGUCUUCUCCACCAGGGAAAGGUGCUCUGAUAGAUGCCCUUCACAGGCGGCAGCUGGUUGUAUAUCGUUAGAGCUUUAGAUUUAAAGCAUUAUUCUCCCACGAAAUGUGGAAUCAAAAUUGAGAUAUAUGUCUAGUUAAGUUCACACUUAGAACUCCAAGUUUCGUUCAAGGCUGUUUUGCCCAGGUGUUUACCUGACCUCCCUCUCAAGGCCGUUGACAAUUUAUGAUCUAUGUGUAAAUUUUUAUAAUUGUGGUAAAAAACAAAACAAAACAAAAUUCUCCACUUGAGCCAUUUUUAAGUGUACAGUGAUAAUAAAAAGGAACUGUAUACAUUUAAAGUCAAUAAAUAAUAUCCCAUUGCUGGAAGACAGGAACAGGGACUGGGAAUCGACUGGCAACUUACAGGAAUUUUUGGAAGACUGAUCAGACAGGAUCAGAGAGAGAAGUUAACACAGCCAGAGUUGGCUGUAUAUCCUAAACGUCAGCCUGGCUGCUGAAAAGACAGCAGUCUCAGAGUAGUGGCCCUACCAGGAUGGAGUGGGAUCAGCUAACUCCAGCUGCAGGGGACACAACUGCCCCUGAAGUACAGGGGAGAGGGUUAGAAAGGCCUCGCAGCCAGAGAAAGGGAGCUAUCCCUGUGGAUAGGGCUUAUCUUUAAAAUAAAGUUUAAAACAAGAUAAAAUCAAGUAAAAGCUGUGCAUGGUGGCUUGGAAGUGCUCAAGAACCUCAGUGAAUCACCUGUUUUUAUAAUUGCUAUUGCAUAUUUCCUUUCAAUUUAAGCAAGUUUUGUCAUGAUCUUCUGGUGAAAAAGUCUGGGACAAUGUAGCCACUGCCGGUCACACCAUCUUUGGACCUUGGACUGCAUCACACUGUGGUCCUCAGGGUUAAGAAAGUCAAUAAGUAAACAUAAGAAAAGUCCUGAACUAGCUGUAUCAUCAAGGUGAGUCAGGAUUCCCACAUUAAUCCAGGCCUACGGUGAACUCAUGGCCCCCAAGAAAGUCUAUAGACAUCCCAAGAAGCAGAGUCUAUAGACAUCCCAAGAAGCAGACCAUCAGAAAGUUCACAUAACAAAACAAUGGACUAGAAACUUUAAAUAUAUAUAUUUGAAAAGCUAAAAACAAAAGAAACUAGGCACUGUGGUGCACACCUGUAGUUCUAACAACUCCAAGGCUAAGGCAGGAUGAUUACAAGUUCUGGGCCAACCUGGGCCACUUAUUGAGACCCUGCCUUCAAAUAAAAAAUUAAAAAGGGCUGGGGAUGUAGCUCAGUGGUAGAGUGCUCCUGGGUUCAAUCCCCAAUACCACCAAACACAUACAUACAUACAUUUAUACGUUAAAAAAAAAAAAAUACUUUGAAAACUUGCUUUAUGUAAAAAGCCAAAAAGUCAACAUAAAAAAAACAGCAAGCAGGGCUGGAGUUGUGGCUCAGGGGUAGAGUGGUCGCCUAGCACAUGCAAGGCCCUCUGUUCAAUCCUUAGCACCACAUAAAAAUAAACAAAGUAGUUUUUUUUUUAAAGCUCUUAUCCUGAAAAAAAAAAUAGCAAGCAGAUUUAAGAAUACAGCUUCUCAAAAUAAAAUCUAUGGUCAUUGAAACUGGAAGCUAAACACGGUCAAGGGUGAGUGUCAUGGAAGCCAUGACUGUGAAAGUCACUCAGAAUGCAGCACAUUCAGGAAAAAAUUUCACAGGACCGAGAGGAAAGUAGCUAUCAACACAGAAUUCUCCACUUGCUCAAUUAUCAUUCAAGAAUAACAGCGAAGUUAGACAAUUCAAAGCAAGAUGGAGGGGGUUUGCCACUAACAGAAACUGAGAAAAUUUCUAAAGGAUGUACUUUCAGGAGGAAGAAAAUUGAACCCAGAAGGAAAGAAUGAGGUGUAAGAAAGAAUACUGAGCAACAAAAUUGAUUAUGUGAAAAAUCUGAGUAUUCCCUAUUAGUGAGAAUAAUAACAAGAAUGAUUUAGAGGUAAAAGCAACAUGGUGACAAACCUACAUAAUGGAGUUUGGUAUUCUAAAUUCUUUAUAUUACCUGGAAAAAUAAACUGACACUAAUUGACUUUGGGCCUUGUUAAUGAUGCUUGUUGAAAAUUUAAGUGUAAUUAUGAAAAUGAUAGAGAAUGUAUAACUUCUAAACCACUGGGAGAUGAGGGAAAGGGGAAUUAAAAAAACCCUGAUCAUUUUAGUGGAGGGCAGAAAGGAGAAAAAAGCAGCAUACAGAAAAAAGGAAGAACACAAAAUUGAUAAUAAGAAUCAGUUAAGAUGUAUCAAACACAGGAACUCACGAUUGUAGCUGUAAACCUCCUCACCUUGUGUACCUAAGAACACGAAGACAAAGGAGAAGGAAGGAAAGAGAUUGGGGGCCCAUACUCAUGGAAACAGGCACUGCAGCUGCACUAACUUUGAAAAAGUAUAACCAAAGCAUGAAGCAUUACUGGAUAGAGUGGCUGAGCAAUGAUAAAAGGAAAAACUUGUCAGGAAACAAAAAAUAAUUCUUGUUUUUUGUGGAGGUACCUGGGAUUGAACUCAGGAGCACUUGACCACUGAGCACAUCCUCAGUCCUAUUUUGUAUUUUAUUUAGAGACAGGGUCUCACUGAGAUGCUUAGCAGCCUCACUUUUGCUGAGGCUAGAUUUGAACCCGUGAUCCUCCUGUCUCCCGAGCCACUGGAAUUACAGGUGGGUGCCACUGCGCCUGGCAGGAAAAUAAAAUAUUUCUAAACCUAAGAAUGUUUAUUACAAGGCCCCCAAAUAUACAAAACCAACAUGGGCAAAGUUCCAAGGAGAAAUGGGUAAAGCCACCACCCCAGCAGAGAUGUGUUCUGAGACAGGUCUCACUGUGCUGCCCAGCCUGGUUUUGCUAUCCUGAGCUCAAGCAGUCUUCCUGCUUCAGCCUUGCAAGUAGCUGCAACCACAGGGUAGGACAGGAAUCUUAACACUCCUUUCUCAGCAAUUUAUGAAUGAAGAAGACAAAAUAUUAGUUAGGUAUAGAAUAUUUGAGUAACAUAAUUAAGGACCUUAGUCUAAUAGAUACUACAUAUUUCUGAAUACAUACACACACCGUCUAUAUGAAUUAAUGGAUGCAAGGACAUGUACUUGCAUCUACUAAUUCCUGUUGAAAAGAGACGAAAUAUUUACAAAAAUGGGCCAUGUACCAGGACACAAAGACUCCAUAGAAUCCCCAAUAUUAGUAUGAUCUAGACCAUCUUUUUUGACCACAAUGCAGUCAUAUGAGAAAUCAGUAAUGAAGAAAUCAUUUUGAAAAACUAGUACAUAUUUGAAAAUUUAAAUAAGCAUAGUCUUCAGUCAUUUACAAGCUAAAAUAUAUAACUGAUGUUAGAAAAUUAUUACUUAUUAGCACUUAAGGAACAAGUGGCACCUGAAAAUUUACAGAACCAAAUGUAUGAGGAAAGAAUUAUUUUAGAAAAGGAGAACUACUAAAAAUUAGUAAGUGCUUAGCUUCAUUACUUAAAAAAAAAUCAAAACUAUUAGUGGCUAAGAAUGUAGCUCAGUUGUAGAAGGCUUGCAUAGAAUGCAUGAGGCCUGGAUUCAAUACCCCGUACACACACACACACACACACAUACACACACAAAUCAUAACACAAAAAGUAGAAAAAAUAAACAUAAGAAUAGAAUAAAAUGAAAUAGAAAACAGAUUAAAAAUGGAAAGCUGGUCAGACCCAGUGGCACAUACUUAUAACACCAGAAAUUCAGGAAGCUGAGGCAGGAGGAUCCCAAGUUGACUAUCUCAAAAUAAAAAGGGUUGGGGAUGUAGCUCAGGGGUAGAGUAACCCUGGGUUAAAUCCCCAGUGCCAUAAUAAAAAUAAAUAAAUAAAUAGAUAGAUAGAUAGGAAAACUGAGUCUAAAAGAAAAUAAAAACCUCAGUGUAUUUCUAGAAAAAGGAAACUUAGAUUCAAGGUGAAAUAGACUCUGAAUAUACCUUUGGAUGUUAUAUAACUACAAGCAAUUAAAAAAAAAAAACCCACUCAUGAUUGAUGUGGUUGGGCAGACUUGUAAUCCUAGCUAUUUCAGAUGCUGAGGCAGGAGGAUUCCUGGGCUAUUUAUUUAUUUAUUGGGGGUCCUGGGGAUUGAACUCAGGGGCACUUGACCAUUGAGCCACAUGCCCAGCCCUGUUUUGUAUUUUAUUUAUUUAUUUAUUUAUCUUUUAAAAUUUUAAUAUUUUUUUAAGUUUUGCGCGGACACAACAUCUUUGUUGGUAUGUGGUGCUGAGGAUGGAACCCGGGCCGCACACAUGCCAGGCGAGUGCGCUACCGCUUGAGCCACAUCCCCAGCCCCACUAUUUUGUAUUUUAUUUAGAGACAGGGUCUCACUGAGUUACUUGGCACCUUGCUUUUGCUGAGGCUGGCUUUGAACUCACGAUCCUUCUGCCUCAACUUCCUGAGUUGCUGAGAUUACAGGUGUGUGUCACCGUGUCUGAUUCCUAGGCGAUUCAGCAAGACACUGUCUCAAAAUUGAAGAAUGGGCUGGGGAAGUAGUCAGCGGUAGAGCCCUUGUCUAGCUUGGUGCGAGGCCUUGGGUUUAAUCUCCAGUCCCAUCAAAGCCAAAACCAAACCCCUACUCAAAAGAAUGCACCAGGUCCAGACGGUGUCAUAGUCGGCUGAGCACUCCAGGGUUCCUGCCUUACAGACCACUCUGGAGAAAGUCUGAUGUGAAGGGGAAAAGCACUGGACACAUCAGUGAACCAGACAGGUAAGAUCUGUCUGCACAGGGAACCCACCUUCUGGCAGGAAAAGAAAGAUGCUGAGCAACAAAUGAGUGGAUCAGUCUAGAAGCCAAGAGUGGCUUCAGGAGAAAGCAGAUCAAAGUGAGAGGUGAAGGAGCCAGACGGGUCUACACUGGAGAGAGGCAGGCUGGGAAUGGGAAGCAGCUAGGGUCUGGCUCAGUGAAAGCCUGCCUUGUUGUCAUGGAAACUAGUGGGGGCAGGGAGGAGUCAAGGGACAGGACAGAAUCCUGCUUGGGCAGCCUGCAGCAAGGGGGUCUUCUGGGGCAUGCUGAUUGAGGGAACAGGCCUGGGGCAAGAAGCCAGAAGGAGGGUAGGGUAGGAUCUGGGUGACCAAGUUGACCUGUGGGAGUGACAGAUAGGGGAAAGGGACAAUCCCAGCUAGGCUGCCGGGAGGCGGAACCACCAGGCAAAGAGGAGCCUCGGGUGAGGUGAGGUCACCUGGAUGGCCUCAAGGUGGGAUCCUGAGUGUGGAGGGCCCAGAACUUUGAGGGUUUGACUUGCCUGAGGUCUGCAAUGCCUGGAGUGAUCACUGAAGCACAGGUGGAAGGUCACAGGCAGUGACAUUUGGCAGUGGCCUUUGCGCCUGGGAGCUACUUCAGGGCAGAGGUCUGAAGCCUGUGCCCCAGGCCAGGCACUAUUCUGGGUGCUUUGCCCCCAAGUCCCAUGAAGCUUGCUGUGUCUGACAGUUUGGUGGGGAAGAAGUAGGGAUGGCAAAAAUCAUGGUCUUCCGGGAACUUUGGUCCUGAUGGAAAAGUGGGGCCAGCAGAAGGGCCUAGUAUCUGG